rnacentral:rRNA from 1 species
UAGGGAAUCUACCGCAAUGGGCGAAAGCCUGACGGAGCAACGCCGCGUGAGUGAUGAAGGUCUUCGGAUCGUAAAACUCUGUUAUUAGGGAAGAACAAAUGUGUAAGUAACUAUGCACGUCUUGACGGUACCUAAUCAGAAAGCCACGGCUAACUACGUGCCAGCAGCCGCGGUAAUACGUAGGUGGCAAGCGUUAUCCGGAAUUAUUGGGCGUAAAGCGCGCGUAGGCGGUUUUUUAAGUCUGAUGUGAAAGCCCACGGCUCAACCGUGGAGGGUCAUUGGAAACUGGAAAACUUGAGUGCAGAAGAGGAAAGUGGAAUUCCAUGUGUAGCGGUGAAAUGCGCAGAGAUAUGGAGGAGCACCAGUGGCGAAGGCGACUUUCUGGUCUGUAACUGACGCUGAUGUGCGAAAGCGUGGGGAUCAAACAGG